rnacentral:RNase_P_RNA from 1 species
GAGCCGGCUGAGCAGUCGCUAUAUCUUUAAAUUUAAGGUGUAGAGGAAAGUCCGGGCUCCAUAGGGCAGGGUGCCAGGUAACGCCUGGGGGACGUAAGUCCACGGAAAGUGCCACAGAAAAUAUACCGCCUCUUGUUUACAGGGGGUAAGGGUGAAAUGGUGCGGUAAGAGCGCACCGCGUUGCUGGUAACAGCAAUGGCAGGGUAAACCCCAUCCCGGAGCAAGAUCAAAUAGAAGAAUAUUGACUGAUGUCAGACAUGCGGCCCGCAUGAUUCUUGGGUAGAUUGCUUGAGCAACGAGGCGACUUGUUGCCUAGAUGAAUGACUGUUCUCGACAGAACCCGGCUUAUAGGCCGGCUCGC